GUCUAUGGCCAUACCACUCUGAAUGCGCCCGAUCUCGUCUGAUCUUGGAUGCUAAGCAGUGUCAGGCCUAGUUAGUACUUGGAUGGGAGCAGUGAAAGAAGACACAAGUUCGCAUUUUGCA
ensembl:rRNA 5S_rRNA 5S ribosomal RNA